rnacentral:rRNA from 1 species
UACGUAGGGUGCAAGCGUUAAUCGGAAUUACUGGGCGUAAAGCGUGCGCAGGCGGUGAUGUAAGACAGAUGUGAAAUCCCCGGGCUCAACCUGGGAACUGCAUUUGUGACUGCAUCGCUGGAGUACGGCAGAGGGGGAUGGAAUUCCGGCGUGUAGCAGUGAAAUGCGUAGAUAUGCGGAGGAACACCGAUGGCGAAGGCAAUCCCCUGGGCCUGUACUGACGCUCAUGCACGAAAGCGUGGGG